GCCAACGGCCAUACCACGUUGAAUGCACCGCUUCUCGUCCGAUCAGCG
rnacentral:rRNA from 1 species